ACUCGNGUGAAUGGAUUAAGAGUUGACCUCAUCAAGUUUUAGCAGGUCGUGAGAGGCCCUUUUGUAAAAUUCGUUGAGCUCAAUGGGAUAACUAAGGGCGACCGGGACUACUGCCUUCGGACAUUUUCAACGGCAAACUCNUAAAUUGAAAGGCGGCUUCGGCUGUCACUUAUGGAUGGACCCGCGUCGCAUUAGCUAGUUGGUGAGGUAACGGCUCUCCAAGGCAACGAUGCGUUGCCGACCUGAGCGGGGGCUCACCCUUAUUGGCCCUGAGCCAGGACCAAAUUCUANNCGGGAGGCAGCAGUAGGGAAUCUUCCGCAAUGUACGAAAGUCUGACCGAGCAACGACGUUUUAAGUGAUGAAGGCUUUCGGGGUCGNAAAAACUGUGUUGUAGGGGAAGACCAAAUGCUAGGGGAAUAAGGUAGGAACUUGUAUGGGUCCUAAAGGGGAAAGCACCUGCUAGUUACUUUACAACGGCU
rnacentral:rRNA from 2 species